AGGGAAAAUAGGGGAAGGAACUUAUGGGUUGGUUUUCUUGGCUAAGAUCAAAGCUAACCGCUCCAAAUCUAUUGCUAUCAAAAAAUUCAAACAAUCCAAGGAUGGUGACGGCGUUUCCCCCACCGCCAUUCGCGAAAUCAUGUUGCUUCGGGAGAUAUCCCAUGAGAAUGUUGUAAAGCUUGUCAAUGUGCAUAUCAACCAGGCAGAUAUGUCUCUCUAUCUGGCUUUUGACUAUGCGGAGCAUGACCUCUAUGCUAAUAUUAGCGGAUCUGUGCUUUUAGUACACGGGCAGCAAAAACAACAAUCUCAAGCUUCUUCCUUGCGCUGAUUGAGAGAAUAAAUUUGGAUAAUAAAAACUUUGUGGAGAAUUCUGUCUUGUUUCCAUAACUUCUCUUCUCUCCCUUUCUUUGAUUUUUUCUUGGUCCAAGACCUUUUCAUUAUAGAAUUUUUCUUGGUCUAAGACCUUUUUAUUACAGAAUCACAAAGCUACUACUUUAACUUUCCAUAUUGAUGGGUGAUAAAAGAUGAGCCAAAAUUGGGAAUUUGGGUUCAUAUUAAUUCUUGGGAAAGCGAGAGUGCAGCUUUUCCCCAUUUCGUUUAUCAUUUAUAUCAGUUAGGGAACAUUUCCUUAACACUGACUUUUGGAGUACUUGCAGAUAAAGAUUGUUGGAAUUCUAAUGCAGUACAAAAACUGGUGAGGGUAUUGAUUGAGAUUUAAUAACAACAUGAAACAGUUCUUUUGGGUAAUUUAUAAUGGAAGAAACUGUUGUUUAUAUAAAAAGGAGUAAUAAAUAGAACUAAUAAGGCAACAUAUAAACGUGGCUUUAAAUUUCUGCAUUUUCAGAUGGAAAAUAAGAAUAAAAAGGCAAAAACUGAGAAAAGAGAUAAAUAGGUUUCUUCGCAUAUGAGAGGUGCCACAUCACUUUUCUCAUUCCUAGCUUUACUAUGUAUAUAGUUUCUAGGAAAUAGCGAUAAUUGUAUAUGCUUUACCCAUAUUUUAAGUGGAUAAUAUGGGUUGACUCAUAUUGGACCCAUUUUAAAUGGGUUGGAUCGGGCGGAUAACCAUAAAUUUUAUCCAUUUUGCCACCCCUAUCUACAAGCUAAAGGAAAUUAAACUAUAGAAGAGUCAAUGUUGGGGAACUAUAUAACUCAACACCUUCAUGACGUGUAACCCCAUUUUGGGAUUUUCACAUGACAAUUAAGGCAAUGCCACGAGUGCGAGAUUCAUGCCAAAAAAUAUUUGUACCAUGUGAAAGAGUUUGAGCAUCCAAAUGAGAACCUUAAAGUGAUGGGUUCAGUAAUACUAGACUUUUUCAUAACCUCUUGCAGAACCUAAGUGGGAUGACUAUAUAACAUGGUAUAAACAAUAGAUAAUGACAAGGUCUCGUCAUCAUUAGCAGAACAUAAAGAAAAAAUCUCUAGUCAUCAAAGCUUUCCAAUUCCUUUGCAUAAAGUCGGAGACCAGUUUCAGACAAAAACAACUGACGACUGAACUAACGCACGAAAUCAAAAAAUUGAAGAAAUGAGAAAUUAGAGGUAGAAUUUGGAAAGAAAUGAUAGAUUCUGGAAGACGAAGCAAUUAGUCAACCACAAGUUUAGACUUGUAACCUACUAAUUAGCAUUUAAUCACAAGAAUAUAAUCCAGGGGUGGAGAAAUUGAACUCAUACAUCAAUACUUACUACAAGAAUUCAAAAGAGGCUCAAUUGAAGAGGUUAAGGAUAUUCGCACAAAGCGAGGUUCCCUCAAGAGAGUUCAUCAAUACUCCAUCAAUUAUCGGGCAAAACUUUACAUUACUUCUAUUUAUACUAUUAGCUAAAUAAUGGGCUUGGGCAAGUCCAAGCACUUUAAAAUAAAAAUAACUAAAUGAAUUGUGAGGCUAGUGGGACAUGUGGGACCAUGCUUAAGUCAACCCUAGAACUGUAAUGGUAGUUCAAUCUUGGUCAACAUUGCACAAACUUGUGGCUAACACUGAUCAAACUUGGUCAACGCUCGAUCAAACCUUCAUUAAGUCUUGCAGUCUUCUUAAUAAGGUAAGCUCACGGCCAUGUUGUCGUAAUUCUCCCCCUCUUAAAAAGAUUUGGCCUCAAAUCAUAGCCUACAGUCAAAAGAGCCUUAUAAGAAUAAUGCAUUGGAAUAUCUCACAAGGGAAAGGAUCACAAAUUAUUUUAGCCAACAUAAAUUCAAACAAACACUCUUCAACAAUAUUUAUUUCUUCCCACAUUUAUAUUGUCGCAACCCAAUUUGUCUAACUCGCAAUGGCACCUACCUACCCGUUAGGUGAGCCCAAUUAGGAUGAAAACCCUCAACUUAAUACUUAUAAGACAUAAACGACUGUAUUGGCAAAAAAACAUGUCAAAACCAUAAGAACGAAUCUAGUAUAGUGCUGAAAAUAACCAAAUACAAACCUCGAGAUCUAGUAAGACCAAUCAUGAGCAUCUAAAGGAAUAUCACUAUUAAACAAAUGGAUUUGGGCCUAAUUCACCCCAAAAUGAGUUAGGCCUAUACCCAAUAUCCAUUUCUUUAACAUGGUAUCAGAGAAGGGUUCAUCCCAAUUCUUCUUUACUGAUGUUGAGGCCCCAUAUUAAAUAGCCCAUCCUCCAGAUGUCCAGUCCUGGGCUUGAGGUGGAAUGUUAAAGAGUCCCACAUCGGAUGAAAAAAAACGAUGGGUGGUCUUUUUGUAUCCAUUCUUCACAUGAUAUUAGAGCAUACUUUAUUUACUUAAUUAUAUUCUUAACACGCCCCCUGAUGUGCAGGCCUGAUUUUUUUUUUCAUGGGCCAAGCACGUGGAUUUUUUUUUAUAAUAGUUGGCAGUGAGAUUUGAUCCCAGAACCUCUGCCUGCUCUGAUACCAUAUUAAAGAAAUGAAUUUUGGGCCUAACUUAACCACAAAAGCUAGCUCAGGAGGGGAGGAUUACCCAAGACUAUAUAAAGAGACCACCCAUCCCUUGUAACAUCGAUGUGGGACGCUUCACAUCCCCCUCUCGCCCAGGGAUGGACAUCUGGUGCGUGGGCUAUUCUUAAAAUGGGGCUCAACAUCAGGAAAUGAGAAUUAGGACGGUCCCUGCUUUGAUACCAUGUUAAAGAAAUGGAUCUUGGCCUAACUCAACUCCAAACGCUAGCUCAUGAGAGGAGGAUUGCACAAGAUCAUAUAAGGAGAUCAAAGACCUCAUCCCCAACGAAUAGGCCUAAUAUUAGGUAAACAGUGAAAAGGAUGAGUCUUGACUCUGAUACCAAGAUUCAUUUCUUAUCGUGGUAUCAGAGUCAGACUCAUCCUAAUUCACUAUUUACCUGAUGUUAAGCCCCCGUUUUAAGCCUAGGGAUGUUCAUGGUACGGUACAAUUUGGUAUUGAAAACUCCGGUUUUUAAAAAAACUAUACCAUUACCAUACAAAAGCUCGGCAUUUUAAGGUCGGUUUCGGUAAAGUGCGGUACGGUAAGUCAGUAUUCAUAGUUUGUUCGAUGUCGACUUAUAUAUAGUAGAGAAUUAUGACGUCGACUUUCAAGGAACGUCUCAAUUAUAUCAUAUUAACACCUUCAACAUACAUACAUAUUCAAGGAAAUAAAAUAUUUUCCUUUGUUGAUUAUCACAGAGGGGACACUUCAAUCAAGACAAACAAUCACUAUAAAGUUUACGUAAUCUAACAAGUAAGAAUAAAAAAUGUAGAAAACUCUACAGUUACCAAUUUAAAAAAAAAAAAAUGUAGAAAACUCUAACAAAAAAAUAAAUCAUAAAUACAAAGAUAAUAAAAAAGAAAUACCCGAGAUUAAGUUGAAUAUCUAAAUAAAAA